ACAGCUUACACUCGUGUCUGAUUACUUUGGUUUCACUGUGCUACAGGUAAAGGCAAAGCUGGUCAACAUUUGCUGGAACGCAGUGAACCUAACUAAAAGGAGACAUCAAGAGACAGAUAUAUAUGCGUCAAGAGUGAGGUGGUGCGUGUGUAGUGAAGCGACAAAGAGGGCUCAAUAAAAACAAAAAAAAAAAAAAAAAAAAAAAA